CUGUUAUGGCUGAGGUUCAGCACCAGCAUAUUCUUGGCGUUCUCCAGCUCCCGUGGGCAUUCCGUCAGCUGGUUGUAGCUCAAGUCCUGUGUAGAACGGGCGAGGCCAGGUCUGGACUCCGAGACUCCCUGUGGGAAGAGUCAGGGGAAGGCUGACUUUGGAACAGACACACAGAAGUGGCCAGAAAUACAGGUCCCAGCACUGGG